rnacentral:rRNA from 1 species
UACGUAGGGCGCGAGCGUUGUCCGGAAUUAUUGGGCGUAAAGAGCUCGUAGGUGGCUUGUUGCGUCUGCCGUGAAAGCCCGUGGCUUAACUACGGGUCUGCGGUGGAUACGGGCAGGCUAGAGGCUGGUAGGGGCAAGCGGAAUUCCUGGUGUAGCGGUGAAAUGCGCAGAUAUCGGGAAGAACACCCGUGGCGAAAGCGGCUCUCUGGAACGGUACUGACGCUGAGACGCGAAAGCGUGGGGAGCGAACAGG